CAAAACUGCAUAAUGGGUCGUAAAUGCGAAAUGAUUUCCUGUGUAAACCGCGAAGGAAAGAAUAUUGGAAAAUCCUUCUACUGCUUUCCUCGUGAUAGUCGGAGGUGCUACUUAUGGGUACAAUCGUGCUGCUCGUCAGAACUAUCGUCGAGAUUUGCCUCCGGAGGCUCAGAGGCUGUCCGGAAGCUGAAAAUCUGCUCGGAUCACUUCCUCUCCUGUUCGUUUCGAAGUCAUUUGCAAUCAGAUAAAGGUUUAAAAGAAAACGCAAUUCCAAUUUGUUCAUUCAACUCGCAAAUCCACGAAACACUAUGUUCAAUUUUCGACACAAGUAUUGAUGGCGACAUAUGCACAGAAACCAC